AGCGAACGCUGGCGGUAGGCUUAACACAUGCAAGUCGAGCGGGCACUUUCGGGUGUCAGCGGCGGACGGGUGAGUAACGCGUGGGAACGUGCCCUCUGGUUCGGAAUAACUCAGGGAAACUUGAGCUAAUACCGGAUACGCCCUUUUGGGGAAAGGCUUGCUGCCGGAGGAUCGGCCCGCGUCUGAUUAGCUAGUUGGUGAGGUAACGGCUCACCAAGGCGACGAUCAGUAGCUGGUCUGAGAGGAUGAUCAGCCACACUGGGACUGAGACACGGCCCAGACUCCUACGGGAGGCAGCAGUGGGGAAUAUUGGACAAUGGGCGCAAGCCUGAUCCAGCCAUGCCGCGUGAGUGAUGAAGGCCUUAGGGUUGUAAAGCUCUUUUAUCCGGGACGAUAAUGACGGUACCGGAGGAAUAAGCCCCGGCUAACUUCGUG
rnacentral:rRNA from 1 species